UCCCCUUUCUUUUUCCCAAAAUCGGUUCCCCCCUCGAAAUCUCAAAAUACCUAAAAUCUCUUCUUCUAUUUUUUCCCCAUUUUAUUUUUCCCUAACCAUUUCUCCCCUACCCCAAUUCUUUUUAUUUUUGCCCCCAAUUUCCCCAAAUCGGUAGCCCUCUGCAUCUUCGUCGGCAACCCAUUGCUGCAUCUCCGUCGGUAGCCCUCUGCUGCUUCUCCUUGAGAAAACGUUAGCUGCGGCUGAGAGUAGACCUUUGCCUUCCUUGUAUAGCAGUGCUGACAUUCGUUCCCUGAAAAUGGAUGAUUUUAAAUAUGCACAUGAGCAGAUAGCUGGAGGUCACCGAAGCAGCAGUUACACUCAUCAGACUAUCACAUGGAAUGGGAGCAAUUAUGCAAAUUAUACUACUCAGCAAUUAUACUACCAUUGUUGCAGGUUUGAGUUUUUGUUGGAUGCAUGGUCCAAAAUUAGCUGAAUUCAUGCAUGGUGACAACUUGUUUGAGCUAACUGUUGAUCUUAAAGUGUGCAUUCUAUUAUUAUUUUGUUCUAUUUGUAUUUUGUUAGAUUUAAGGUGUAGUAUGAUAAGUGUGAUAUUUUGUUUGAUUGUUAUUGAUCUUUUGUUUGAUUGUUAUUGAUCAACUUUCUGUUUGAUGGGAUAUAUAUUUAUAUUAUGGAUAUUCUUCUUCUUCUUAA